GAUGAACGCUAGCGGCGUGCCUAAUACAUGCAAGUCGAGCGAACAGACGAGGAGCUUGCUCCUCUGACGUUAGCGGCGGACGGGUGAGUAACACGUGGAUAACCUACCUAUAAGACUGGGAUAACUUCGGGAAACCGGAGCUAAUACCGGAUAAUAUAUUGAACCGCAUGGUUCAAUAGUGAAAGACGGUUUUGCUGUCACUUAUAGAUGGAUCCGCGCCGCAUUAGCUAGUUGGUAAGGUAACGGCUUACCAAGGCGACGAUGCGUAGCCGACCUGAGAGGGUGAUCGGCCACACUGGAACUGAGACACGGUCCAGACUCCUACGGGAGGCAGCAGUAGGGAAUCUUCCGCAAUGGGCGAAAGCCUGACGGAGCAACGCCGCGUGAGUGAUGAAGGUCUUCGGAUCGUAAAACUCUGUUAUUAGGGAAGAACAAAUGUGUAAGUAACUAUGCACGUCUUGACGGUACCUAAUCAGAAAGCCACGGCUAACUACGUG
rnacentral:rRNA from 1 species